rnacentral:rRNA from 1 species
UACAGAGGGGGCAAGCGUUAUUCGGAAUUAUUGGGCGUAAAGCGCACGUAGGCGGACUCUUAAGUCGGUGGUGAAAUCCUGGAGCUCAACUCCAGAACUGCCUUCGAUACUGAGAGUCUCGAGUCCGAGAGAGGUGAGUGGAACUGCGAGUGUAGAGGUGAAAUUCGUAGAUAUUCGCAAGAACACCAGUGGCGAAGGCGGCUCACUGGCUCGGUACUGACGCUGAGGUGCGAAAGCGUGGGGAGCAAACAGG